UUCGAUUGUGCCAGCAGCCGCGGUAAUACAGAGGGUGCAAGCGUUAAUCGGAUUUACUGGGCGUAAAGCGUGCGUAGGUGGCCAAUUAAGUCAAAUGUGAAAUCCCCGAGCUUAACUUGGGAAUUGCAUUCGAUACUGGUUGGCUAGAGUAUGGGAGAGGAUGGUAGAAUUCCAGGUGUAGCGGUGAAAUGCGUAGAGAUCUGGAGGAAUACCGAUGGCGAAGGCAGCCAUCUGGCCUAAUACUGACACUGAGGUACGAAAGCAUGGGGAGCAAACAGGAUUAGAUACCCUGGUAGUCCAUGCCGUAAACGAUGUCUACUAGCCGUUGGGGUCUUUGAGACUUUAGUGGCGCAGCUAACGCGAUAAGUAGACCGCCUGGGGAGUACGGCCGC
rnacentral:rRNA from 1 species